CAGUCGCCACGGUAAAACGAAGGGUGCAAGCGUUAAUCGGAAUUACUGGGCGUAAAGCGUGCGUAGGCGGUUUCUUAAGUCUGCUGUGAAAUCCCCGGGCUCAACCUGGGAAUGGCAGUGGAUACUGGGAAGCUAGAGUGUGUCAGAGGAUGGUGGAAUUCCCGGUGUAGCGGUGAAAUGCGUAGAGAUCGGGAGGAACAUCAGUGGCGAAGGCGGCCAUCUGGGACAACACUGACGCUGAGGCACGAAAGCGUGGGGAGCAAACAGGAUUAGAUACCCCAGUAGUCCCUGUCUCUUAUAC
rnacentral:rRNA from 1 species